CUCUCUCUCUCUCUCUCUCUCUCAGACAAAACUUAACCCUUCUUUCUUUCUUUCUUUCUUUCUUUCUUCCAUUUUCACUCCUCUCUCUUUUUCCUUCAAACCCUUGAACCACCGCCUGUUUACGGCCACCACACAUCCGCCAACACUGUCACUCCGCUGCGCGGGACCAAACAACAACCACCACUUUCAGAUUAUACGCGAUUAUUUCUCUUUUCCUUUCACUCUAUUGAUUUCAGGGUUUGUGCUUCUAAUCCUCAUUGUUUUGAUUUUCGAUUUUAGGUUUUGCCAUCAAAAAACAUGUCUUAUUGCUUAUUUCUGACCACUGUGAAUCGUAUCCCUUGCAAGCUUAUUAUAAGAGUAUUUGAAAGAAGAAAACACUCAGAUCCUGCAACAACAAACAAAUUACAUGAGUUUCAAUUUUUCAAUCUCUUCUUAUUGUUGAUUUAAGGAUUGCAAUCAUGGUGUUUGGAACAAACUUCAUAGGUAAAGCAAACUGGAAGCCCUUACUUUCGGUCAACAAAAUGAUGCAAACACUCUAACAUUUUCUCAAUAUGAUGCAAUUGUUGCUGAACCUGAACAAGAACCAAAAUCAUAUGGAAACUCACCACUUCCCUUAG